CAGGCAGCUGACAGGGAAGGAGCUCCUGAGCAGGCCCCUGAGGGAGUGACUAGCUCGCACCAGGCUACUAGAAAGCAUGGUGGUGAGAGGUGCAAAUUAUAACUCUAGACUGGAAACACUGGACAUUAUGGACACACAGCUAGCAAAGCACUGAAUAUGGUCAAAUCAAGUAGAACUCCAGCUAUACAACUUGUGGACACCCUCACUACUGGAAUCAAUUAUCUACAGAUUUGAGAGAGGUACAAAAUUUACAGACUUUUCUGAUAAGACCUGAUGGGAAGUUGAAGGACAAUCGCAGAUGUUUCCUAGUGGUGCAGUGACAAGAAAGAGAUCAAUAAAACACCAUGAAGAUAAUUAUUAAAAGAAAUAAUAAUGUCAGAUAUACAUGUAAUAUUACACUGAGCACUACUGGGGAGAUAAUUCGUGGAUUGUUAGGGGCUGGAAGGGACCUUUUAGAUCAUUGGGUCCAGUCCUCUUACACUAAGCAGGAAAGGAUGACUGGGGUCAAGUGACCGCACUGAGGUGACUGUCCAGUCUCUUUUUGAAGACUUCCAGGGUAGGUGACUGCACCCCCACUGAAGGGAGUUUAUUCCACAAUGUGGACACCCUGACUAUGAAGGAGUUUUUCCUGGAAUUGAGCCUGAAGCAGCUUCCAGGAGUUUGUAUCCAUUGCUCCUGGUCUUCCCCAGGGGUGCCCUGGGGAACAGCUGGUCACCAAGUUCUUGAUGUACUCCCCUGAUGUAGCAGUAAGCCACUACCAAGUCCCCUCCCAGCCUUCUCUUCUGUAGGCUGAAGAGGCCAAGUCUCUCAGCCUUGCCUCAUAUGGCUUAUUCAAUUCACUGUAAAGAGAAACCUGUACCACUUUGGGAUAUUUUUGUAAAGAUGUGUUACUAUAUAAUAGGGACAUUUAAUUAUGGAAUUGUGGUUUAUAGUACAGAUAUAGUCAUUAUGGUAAGAUUUAUGUCUUAUUAGCAGCAGUAGUAAUAUAAUAAA